ACUAUGCCUACCCCUAAACACGAUAUGAAACUACGUACAUAUCCGCCUGGUUACUACGAGCAUUAGCUUAAAACUCAAAGGACUUGGCGGUGCUUUAUACCCUU
rnacentral:rRNA from 1 species